CACACCUGUAAUCCCAACACUUUGGGAGGCCGAGGCGGGCAGAUCACGAGGUCAAGAGAUCGAGACCAUCCUGGCCAACAUGGUGAAACCAUGUCUCUACUAAAAAUACAAAAGUUAGCUGGUCUUGGUGAUACGUACCUGUAGUCUCAGCUAUUUGGGAGGCUGAGGCAGGAGAAUCGCUUGAACCCAGGUGGUGGAGGUUGCAGUGAGCCGAGAUUGUGCCAUUGCACUCCAGCCUGGUGACAGAGCAAGACGCAGUCUCAAAAACAAAACUCAGAAACCAAUAUAAUAGUAUAAACUGCACAGCGGCUAUUGAGUACUUGAAAUGUGGCUAAUAUAGCUGGGCACAGUGGCACACAUUGUAGUCCCAGCCACUUUUGAGGUUGAGGCAGGAGGAUUGCUUGAGCCCAGGAGUUCAAGGCUGUAGUGCCCUAUGAUUGCACCUGUGAGUAGCCACUGUACUCCAGCCUAGGCAACAGCAAGACCCCUGUAUCAAAACAAACAAAAGAAGUGUGGCUAUUAGACAUAUUACAAAUAUUCCCAGAGGUGACUCAGAAGUUAAUCAUAGAAGUCAAACUUUGCUUAUUGUUAUGAGUCUCUAGGGAGUACUUCAACUCAUUUGCAUCUGUUUCCUCAUCUUCAAAAUGGGACAGUGUAAUUCUGGACCUGGGACAUAGUAAGGAUUCAAUGGGUGGCAGCUGUGACAAGAGCAACAACAAAAAUAUUGUGCGUCUUUCUUUUUUUUAAUAAUGGCACAAAAAGGCAAAACCAUAGAUACAGUAAACGGAUGUGUGGUUGCCAGUGUUUGGCGGGGAGAGGGUUCAAUAAGUGAGCACAGGGGGUUUUUUAGGGUGAAGAAAUGUGGGUAUAUGACUGUGCAUUGGUUGAUAUCCAUUAAACUUAAUAGCACAAAAAGUGAACCUUAAUGCAUGCAAAGUUAAAAAAAUCACUUAGGACAUUUAGAUAAUUCCAAAAUGUCAUGCAGAAUAUGACAAACAUCUUCACCGUAUUACAAAUGUGUGAAAUGACCUCAUGAAGAGGAUAGAGGAAAACGUGCUGACCUAAGUAACUUUAGAAAUGAGUGGGCCAGGCGUGGUGGCUCAUGCCUUUAAUCCCAGGAC
rnacentral:lncRNA from 1 species